GGAACCCCAGGGGACAAAGGAGAGACAGGUACUAGAGGUGAGCGAGGACCUCCUGGUCUUCCUGGAACCCCAGGCAAUAUUGGUUUCCCCGGUCCUCAAGGGCCUCCUGGACUGCCUGUAAGUCAACACA